rnacentral:lncRNA from 1 species
UUGCAUCCGAUGCUGGACAUGGGUAGGAACCCUUGAUGAAUCCCAAUUUGUUCUUUACUGACAGAGCAGUUAGGACUGACCUCUUCCACCCUAGAUAUCCCUUGCCAUCAAAGGUUGUAUUUACUUGUGUUAUACCAGGGUUAUCAAAAGCAUGAAGAUGAUUUGGAUGAUUUGGAUCCAUGGUGAGAGUGCUAGCAGUAGUAGUCAUUGAAGCAGUAGCUGUUUGCUCCACCAUGUUUG